ACUCAAAGGAAUAGACGGGGGCCCGCACAAGCGGUGGAGUAUGUGGCUUAAUUCGAUGCAACGCGAAGAACCUUACCUGGCCUUGACAUGCAGGAGACCGGAAAUGAAAGUUUCCCUUCCGCAAGGACUGCUGCACAGGUGCUGCAUGGCUGUCGUCAGCUCGUGUCGUGAGAUGUUGGGUUAAGUCCCGCAACGAGCGCAACCCUUGUGAACUGUUGCCGAGGUUAAUACCGAGGCUCUCUGUUCAGACUGCCCUGUGAAACGGGGAGGAAGGUGGGGAUGACGUCAAGUCAGCAUGGCCCUUACGGCCAGGGCUGCACACGUACUACAAUGCCCAGUACAGAACGAUCCAAAACCGCGAGGUGGAGGAAAUCCUGAAAACUGGGCCCAGUUCGGAUUGGAGGCUGCAACUCGCCUCCAUGAAGCCGGAAUCGCUAGUAAUGGCGCAUCAGCUACGGCGCCGUGAAUACGUUCCCGGGCCUUGUACACACCGCCCGU
rnacentral:rRNA from 1 species